GAUGAACGCUAGCGAUAGGCUUAACACAUGCAAGUCGAGGGGCAGCAUGGUCUUAGCUUGCUAAGACUGAUGGCGACCGGCGCACGGGUGCGUAACGCGUAUGCAACUUGCCUCACAGAGGGGGAUAACCCGUCGAAAGACGGACUAAUACCGCGUACACUUGGAGGGAGGCAUCUCCCAUCAAGGAAAAGAAAUUCGCUGUGAGAUAGGCAUGCGUCCCAUUAGCUAGUUGGUGAGGUAACGGCUCACCAAGGCAACGAUGGGUAGGGGAACUGAGAGGUUGAACCCCCACACUGGUACUGAGACACGGACCAGACUCCUACGGGAGGCAGCAGUGAGGAAUAUUGGUCAAUGGGCGAGAGCCUGAACCAGCCAAGUCGCGUGAAGGAUGACUGUCUUAUGGAUUGUAAACUUCUUUUGUAGGGGAUUAAAGAACGGUACGUGUACCGUAGUGAAUGUACCCUACGAAUAAGCAUCGGCUAACUCCGUGCCAGCCGCCGCAUGUAA
rnacentral:rRNA from 1 species